GGAGGGUACAGCUCAGGGGUAAAGCGCGUGCUUAGCAUGCACGACGUCCUGGGUUCAAUCCCCAGCCCCUCUU
rnacentral:tRNA from 1 species